CCUUCGGGCGCCGACGAGUGGCGGACGGGUGAGUAACGCGUAGGAAUCUGCCUCAUAGUGGGGGACAACGUGGGGAAACUCACGCUAAUACCGCAUACGCCCUACGGGGGAAAGCGGGGGCUCUUCGGACCUCGCGCUAUGAGAUGAGCCUGCGUUAGAUUAGCUAGUUGGUGGGGUAAAGGCCUACCAAGGCGACGAUCUAUAGCUGGUCUGAGAGGACGAUCAGCCACACUGGGACUGAGACACGGCCCAGACUCCUACGGGAGGCAGCAGUGGGGAAUAUUGGACAAUGGGCGCAAGCCUGAUCCAGCAAUACCGCGUGUGUGAAGAAGGCCUGAGGGUUGUAAAGCACUUUCAAUUGGGAGGAAAACCUACCGGUCAAUACCCGGUAGCUUGACAUUACCUUUAGAAGAAGCACCGGCUAACUCCGUGCCAGCAGCCGCGGUAAUACGGAGGGUGCGAGCGUUAAUCGGAAUUACUGGGCGUAAAGCGUGCGUAGGCGGUUGAUUAAGUCAGAUGUGAAAGCCCCGGGCUUAACCUGGGAACUGCAUUUGAAACUGGUCGACUAGAGUUGAGUAGAGGGGAGUGGAAUUUCAGGUGUAGCGGUGAAAUGCGUAGAGAUCUGAAGGAACACCAGUGGCGAAGGCGACUCCCUGGACUCAAACUGACGCUGAGGUACGAAAGCGUGGGUAGCAAACAGGAUUAGAUACCCUGGUAGUCCACGCUGUAAACGAUGUCAACUAGCCGUUGGCCCUAUUUACAGGGUUAGUGGCGCAGCUAACGCAUUAAGUUGACCGCCUGGGGAGUACGGCCGCAAGGUUAAAACUCAAAUGAAUUGACGGGGGCCCGCACAAGCGGUGGAGCAUGUGGUUUAAUUCGAUGCAACGCGAAGAACCUUACCUACCCUUGACAUCCAUGGAAUC
rnacentral:rRNA from 1 species